GCCGGUGUGGCUCAGUGGUUGAGCGUCAACCUGUGAACCAGGAGGUCCCGGGUUCGAUUCCCGGUCAGAGGCA
rfam:Myotis davidii contig24715, whole genome shotgun sequence.